CCUACGGGAGGCAGCAGUAGGGAAUAUUGCACAAUGGGGGAAACCCUGAAGCAGCAACGCCGCGUGGAGGAUGAAGGUUUUCGGAUUGUAAACUCCUUUUGUUAGAGAAGAUAAUGACGGUAUCUAACGAAUAAGCACCGGCUAACUCCGUGCCAGCAGCCGCGUUAAUACGGAGGGCGCAAGCGUUACUCGGAAUCACUGGGCGUAAAGAGCGCGUAGGCGGGAUAGCAAGUCAGAUGUGAAAUCCUAUGGCUUAACCAUAGAACUGCAUUUGAAACUGUUAUUCUAGAGUAUGGGAGAGGUAGGUGGAAUUCGUGGUGUAGGGGUAAAAUGCGUAGAGAUCAAGAGGAAUACUCGUGGCGAAGGCGACCUGCUAGAACAUAACUGACGCUGAUGCGCGAAAGCGUGGGGAGCAAACAGGAUUAGAUACCCUAGUAGUC
rnacentral:rRNA from 1 species